UACGUAGGUGGCAAGCGUUGUCCGGAUUUACUGGGCGUAAAGCGCACGCAGGCGGUUCGCCAAGUUUGGAGUGACAGUUGUCGGCUCAACCGACAAAGGACUUCAAAAACUGGUGAACUUGAGGACGAGAGAGGAACAUGGAACUCCAGGUGUAGUAGUGAAAUGCGUAGAUAUCUGGAAGAACACCAAUGGCGAAGGCAAUGUUCUGGCUCGUUUCUGACGCUCAGGUGCGAAAGCCAGGGGAGCGAACGGG
rnacentral:rRNA from 1 species